GAGUUUGAUCAUGGCUCAGAGCGAACGCUGGCGGCAGGCUUAACACAUGCAAGUCGAGCGGGCAUAGCAAUACGUCAGCGGCAGACGGGUGAGUAACGCGUGGGAACGUACCUUUUGGUUCGGAACAACACAGGGAAACUUGUGCUAAUACCGGAUAAGCCCUUACGGGGAAAGAUUUAUCGCCGAAAGAUCGGCCCGCGUCUGAUUAGCUAGUUGGUGAGGUAAUGGCUCACCAAGGCGACGAUCAGUAGCUGGUCUGAGAGGAUGAUCAGCCACAUUGGGACUGAGACACGGCCCAAACUCCUACGGGAGGCAGCAGUGGGGAAUAUUGGACAAUGGGCGCAAACCUGAUCCAGCCAUGCCGCGUGAGUGAUGAAGGCCCUAGGGUUGUAAAGCUCUUUUGUGCGGGAAGAUAAUGACGGUACCGCAAGAAUAAGCCCCGGCUAACUUCGUGCCAGCAGCCGCGGUAAUACG
rnacentral:rRNA from 1 species